GCCCUAUUGGUGUAGUGGUAACACAGGUGUCUUCCAAACAUCUGUCCUCGGUUCGAAUCCGGGAUGGGGCUC
rnacentral:tRNA from 4 species